GUUGAUCGGGAAUGUUACAUGACGGAACAAGCGUUGGGAUUCUCAUCGCUGAACAUCUGCGGCUGAUCGUUUCGCAUGUGGUGGGGAAAAUGAGGGUCCAUUGGAACGACGUCGUAUCUAUGGUCUACGUAACCAUGGUUAUCGUAACCAUGGUUAUUGUAACCAUAGUUGGGGUUAUAGUAACUCGGGUUAGCUUCCAUUGAGUAGCUUUGGUACUGCAUCGGUGCUUCGUAGUAUAGUUGUUGGAAUGGAUAUCCGCCGUAAUAUUCAAACUUGUUCACUACAUCCGCCGGUUUUACUCCACCGCCCUCGCCCGCGGCUGCUGGUGCUGCUGCUGGUGCGGGUUUUGAUUCACCCUCCUUUUUUUCCCCACCGCCUUCUUUUUCCUUCUGUUCUCCUCCACCGCCUUCUUU
rnacentral:lncRNA from 1 species